UACGUAGGGGGCAAGCGUUGUCCGGAUUUAUUGGGCGUAAAGAGCGUUUAGGCGGCUUCACAGGUCCGCUGUGAAAACUCGAGGCUCAACCUCGAGCUGUCGGUGGAAACCGUGUGGCUAGAGUCCGGAAGAGGAGAGUGGAAUUCCCGGUGUAGCGGUGAAAUGCGCAGAUAUCGGGAAGAACACCCGUGGCGAAGGCGGCUCUCUGGGACGGUACUGACGCUGAGACGCGAAAGCGUGGGGAGCGAACAGG
rnacentral:rRNA from 1 species